rnacentral:rRNA from 1 species
UGGGGAAUUUUGGACAAUGGGGGCAACCCUGAUCCAGCCAUGCCGCGUGUGCGAAGAAGGCCUUCGGGUUGUAAAGCACUUUUGGCAGGAAAGAAACGGCGCCGGCUAAUAUCUGGCGUAACUGACGGUACCUGCAGAAUAAGCACCGGCUAACUACGUGCCAGCAGCCGCGGUAAUACGUAGGGUGCAAGCGUUAAUCGGAAUUACUGGGCGUAAAGCGUGCGCAGGCGGUUCGGAAAGAAAGAUGUGAAAUCCCAGGGCUCAACCUUGGAACUGCAUUUUUAACUCCCGAACUAGAGUGUGUCAGAGGGGGGUGGAAUUCCACGUGUAGCAGUGAAAUGCGUAGAUAUGUGGAGGAACACCGAUGGCGAAGGCAGCCCCCUGGGAUAACACUGACGCUCAUGCACGAAAGCGUGGGGAGCAAACAGGAUUAGAUACCCUGGUAGUCCACGCCCUAAACGAUGUCAACUAGCUGUUGGGUUCUUCGGAGCUUGGUAGCGCAGCUAACGCGUGAAGUUGACCGCCUGGGGAGUACGGUCGCAAGAUUAAAACUUAAAGGAAUUG